rnacentral:rRNA from 1 species
UACGUAGGGGGCCAGCGUUGUCCGGAAUCAUUGGGCGUAAAGCGCGCGUAGGCGGCCAGAUAAGUCCGGUGUGAAAGUCAAAGGCUCAACCUUUGAAUGCCGCUGGAAACUGCCUGGCUUGAGUCCGGAAGGGGCGAGUGGAAUUCCUGGUGUAGCGGUGAAAUGCGUAGAUAUCAAGAGGAACACCAGUGGCGAAGGCGAGUCCCUGGACAACACCUGACACUGAGGGACGAAAGCUAGGGGAGCGAAUGGG